rnacentral:lncRNA from 1 species
GCUGCUCCCAACUUGGAUCUGUCCCGCUCGAGGACGCAGAGCUGUGUCUGGAGCGCGGUCACCGCCCUCUACAGCUGGCUUCCCCAACCCGGUUCCCCCUCCCUUCCCCUCCGCCCUCGCUCCCGACGGACCCCCCAACUGCCAAGAAUCCCCCCGCGGGCCCAGCGGCCAACAGUUUCCCUUAGGCCGCGACAGGAAAUGUGUGCGGAGCGCUGCCAGGCCCGGUGCAGCCCUGAGUUAUUCUGGGGUCAGGAACACAGCUGGCGCCGGGUACAGGGGACGCAGUCGACUAGAAGGUCAAACACCCUGCUUAGAGCAAGAGGAGAAAUUCGCCACUGGGAUGAAGUGUGUGGUUUUUCUCCGUUCAGGGAGUUUCAUCAGGACCGCAGAACCCAUAACACGUACAAAGGGGACACAUUAAAUGUGAUCUCAAGUUUAAACUGUGUAUGCUGUCAAAGAAAUUCAAAUGGGGGCACCUCUUAUUAUAUUGGACCCAAGUAGCUCUGUCACUGUCUUCCCCAAACAAGGCUGAAGCUGUGCUGCAUAUUCUUACCUAGCCUAGGAAGUCAUAAAACAUCACUCUGCUUCAUUCUGUUGGAUACUGAUGAGUCAAAACUUGCCAUUUUCAAAGGAAAAGAAUGCAGACACCUCUUAAAAGAGCAGGUAGUUAGAAUGCAACACUGGAAGAAUGUGAGUUUGAGACUAGAAAGAAAAAUUGAGGUAGCAUUCAUAUGGCAACUUCAUAUGACUUGAUGAUGUGAGAUUCAACUGUUCUCCUUAGUGUGUUCUCUCUGCAAUUCCAGACCCCAUGAAAUAAAUCUCUGAAGCUUGCUUGUCUCCCAAACACUGUGUAAACCCACUGAAAACUUAAGUAAUGGAGUAAACAGCUUUCUGUGGC